GGAUCAAUAUAUUGGUCAUGCUUAGGUAUGUACUGGUAUUAUUGAUUUCUCCCUUCUGAAGAACCAUGAUGUCAUUUAUUUGAUGUCGUGGGGAAUCAGGACUGUUACUUUGAAAAAAUUAGAGUGUUUAAAGCAGGCUUUCGCUUGAAUACAUUAGCAUGGAAUAAUGAAAUAGGACGUUUGAUUCUAUUUUGUUGGUUUCUAGGAUCGACGUA
rnacentral:rRNA from 1 species